UCUAACAACCACUUGCCCAUGCUUGAGUCCUUCUGAAAACCAUUGUGUACAUGGAGAGAAAAACAGAAAAGCAUAUAGUUGCAUCAUGAUUGAAGUGAAAAUAACUCAAGGAUGAUUGAAGUGAAAAUAUUUCUGAAGGAAGAGGAGAUUUAAAGCAAGGCCGUGCCUGCAUACUCAGGGGAAAGGUAUCCAAAUGUCCAAGAAAGCAAAUAAACCAUUCCUAUAUUCACCAGUCCACAACCAAACCCUAUUCACUUUCCAUUCCCAACACCACAACGCCAUUCCUUCUUCAUCUCCACAUCCCUAUGUGUUAUGGUGUGAGGAGCAUCUCUCACUGUUAUAGCAUAAGAGGGAGGUAUCUACUACACCUUAAAAGAGAGACAAGAAAUUACUAUUCCUAAGAGAACUUGCAAUCUGGGCCGUUUAUUUGACUCUCUCUCCAUUUUCACUCUUUAAUCCUGGCCCUUCAUCUGUGAGACUUUUUCUCCUCUAUUCUACUCGAGCUUGACGUCACAGAACGCGUUGAUGGAGUAUGUGAAGAAGGAUAGGAGUGUGUUCAUGGUUUGAUUUCGUGGGUAAUCAUCAUCCCUCAGGCCCUGUCUCUGUAGCGUGAGCGACGUCCUCUGUUCCAGUGGUUAGGUUUAGGUUUGGUUGCAGAAGGAAUCAGGAAUACGCACUGUUGAGCACAAUUUUGUGUCACCAUGACCCAUGUUUCUUCAAUCCUUUCCGUGUUAGGUGAAAAUCAGAAGGAAGAUAAUAGAUUAUUCAGGAAAUUGUUCAAUUUGUUGUCAGAAGCUGAGCGAAAUCGGAAAGAGUUCCUAUUUCUUCGCCAGUUGAAGCUUCCUUAGAUGUCAGGCUCUACCUACUUCCAAAGGCCAAGCUCUUGCACAUGAGUAUGGUAUCAAGUUCUUUGAGACUAGUGCAAAAACAAACUUGAAUGUGGAGGAGGUUUUCUUUUCAAUAGCAAGAGACAUCAAGCAGAGGCUUGCAGACACAUAUUCUAGAGCUAAGAUGAUUCUAAUGAAUUGGCAAAGAAUAAUGGUGAUGGAGAGGAUACUUUCAAGCUGUCCUAUUCUGAUGCUGAGUGAAGAAUUAGAGGAAAAGAACCUUCAGAAAAGUUUUGUUCCUUGAACAAACCUCAAAGAUGGAUGAGGUAUUUUGCUUGCAUUUGAAUUUGGGGCUGAGGUAUUAAUUUAUGGUUGAGAAAAGAGGUGGGGGCGGUAGUUGUGGACUGAGGUGAUGGUUGUGGUAUGCAAGCAGAUGCUUAAGAAAGGGUGAAGGGUUCCAUAGUUGAGGGAGAAGGAGGUGUCGCGGCUGUGUGUUUUGGGUUAGGGAAGGAGAAGGUUGAGUCAGUGGUGGCGGGACACUAUUCAGGAGAGAACUUUUUUUGUUUGUGUUCCAAUUAUUUUUUGGCCCAACUUAUCCUAGCCGGUUCAUCCUAUUAAUUUUUUUAGCCUAGCUUUUUGUUGGCCCAUGUCAUGUUAUAGGUCAUCUUUUAUCUUUUUAGUUUACCACUUGUCCUUCCCAUUAGUCUACCGUUUAACAGUGAGGAAGGAGAAGAGAGGAUGGUGGAAGGUGAUGGAAAGGAAUAGCAAGAGUGAGAAGAGAAGAUGAUGGAAGGGAAAGGACGAUUUUUGUCAUCCACCGUAGAUAGGGUGAGAAUUAGAAGGAGAAGAGAAGAUGAUGGAAGGGGAAGGACCAAGUGUACGGUUAGGGGAUGACCGAAAAUAUGACAUAUGUUGCUUCAUUGAAGCAAGAAGGAGGACAGAAGAAGGUUGAAGGAGAAGAGAAAAAUUCCACUGUUUGAUUAUCAGGUCUAUGUAGUAACCUUUCUGUCUUAACUUGUAUUGUGGCAAGGCUGAUAUGGGUGCUAUUCCUUUUAACCAACUUUGAAUUUAGAUCUAGCUAGCUACCAUAUGUCAAGUUAUAUCUAAUUGUUUGUAAAUGGUAUUAUAAAACCAAUCAUUGGUUUGCAGUAUGAUAAUGUUUUGUUUUGUUUGAUACAUGUGGUGCCUAGAAGGUUAUUAUCAAAGAUGUUGCUGCUCCGAAUUACACAUCUAGAAAGCCAAGUAAAUAAGUUGCAGGUUCCGUGACUACUUUGUAUUUUUUCUAUCCAAGAACUUACUUUUACAUAAAAGUUUGUGAUAGAAAAGUCUGUUAUUUCAAAUCAAAUGAUAUUAUUUUGGUCAACUCAACUCAAAGGGUUGGAGGGUUUGUCUCAAGAAGAGCUUUUUCUAUGGCAACCUGUGAAGGAUAUCAUUGUAAAUGAUCCAUGAUUAGGUCUCAUUCUCAUUGAUAUUGGUCUUGCCUAUAAACAGCUCUCUCUGUCUCUCUUAGAAGUUCCCCCAGUUUGCAGAUCCUAAGGUCUUUCAAGGAAUAUUGAAGGAAGGAAGAGCUUUGGUUUUCUAGAUCUGAGAUAAAAGUUUAUUUAGUUGAAAAGAUGUCUUCUUCUUUUCCCUUCCAAUUUUUUUUAAAGAUAUAAUUAUGUGGUGUAAUGUGCAUAUAGUAGAUAGAUACUAUGAGGCUUGUGACUUAAUUAGAAAGCAGUUGAGAGGGGGGGGGGAGAAACUGAUAGAGGUGUUCGUUGUAAAAAAGUGUUUUGGCAAUCUUGCGAGCAGCUUUUUUCUGAUAUUGUAGAAACCUUCUAAGUGAAACUUGGGCCCCUAAAUGAGCAAACUAGCAAAGAACAUGAGCAACUUGAAGUCAUUCCUCUUCCAGAAAAAUCUAUGGAUGUUGAAAGGCUAGGACCUGGAAAUUAGUUUUUCAAGAGAAGGUGGAAAAGGAGGCCAGAUUGUAGACAAAGUUGAAAUUGCAGUUCAAAUUACACACAACCAAACCGGUGUCACAAUUCACUGAACAGGUUAUUUUUCCUCUUUUCAUACUUAUUUAAUAUGUGAACCCAUCUUCCAUGUUUCUGAGGCUUCUUUGGAACAUAACAUAGUUGGAGACAAUUUAUAUUUUAUACGUUAGAAAUAUAUUUUAGUCUCAUGUUAAGAAGAUCCAAGAUUCAAACUUAACUCACAAAGUGUUUCUUCUUUAGGAAUUAUUAUCCCCACUUAACUCUUCCUAGAAUCAUAACCUGAAAUACUGAUUAAGAAAUCUUAAUCCUGAUAUUAGUAUACAAUUGAGAGGCAUUUAUUUCAUAGUUUCUUAAAUCCUCACAGAUUAACACUAUGGAUUUUACUGCGAUAAAUUCACACCAAACUCAUGCAAAUGAGAAUUGAAGUGCAUGGUUAAAAGGCAUUAUGUUAAAGAUUCCAUGACAAUGAUUUUGAUUAUUGGUGUUGGCCUGGUCAUCCUCCUAACUUGACACUUUGAACCCAGAGAUUAGAUCCUUGUGGUAUGCUAAGUUUUAUUUUCAGACUUCUGUUGGUUCCACUCCUCUUUCCAUAUGGAAUGUGCCUUUCGUCUUCAAUGGUCUUGAGGUUUGUUAAUUUUUUCAAGGUUUAUUUAUUUAUUUAUUCUUGUGGUUUUUAUCAUGUUUUUGGACUUGGAAUCUUCGUUUGCAAAGUUUUCAAAGCUAACACUUUCAUCUCAUGCAUUCGGUUUAGGGAAAAGGGAAAUAAAUGAUGUGCUUUGUAAGGAACUCAUUAUCACCAGCAUCCAUUUCCAUGAUAAUGAUUGAUGAUAUGCAUGCAGACCUUAUGGCCCAAGCAUUUAUCGUAUAUGCUGGAGAAAUCAUUAGGAUAUAUAAUUAACAAUUUAUCCACAUGGUGACUCUAAUCAUCAAUGACCUCAUAAUUUGGGAUUAUCUAUCACACAAAUGUUUUCUCAAAGCACUAUGUCCAGCAGCAGAUAAAAUACAUGUUGAAAAUUAAUAGAGGCCAGUAUCAUCCCACCUAUAGGUUUCACCCAGAGGCUAGAGUAGUAGCUUGGUUGUUGUGCUUGUGCCAAGUUGGACUUGAGAAGAAGGAGGAUGGGAGUAUGAUGAAAAAUAACAAAACACUCCUGAGUGAAGAUUCAACUAAUGUAAGAAGAUUUUGGAAUUUGGCAGCUUCCUAUGAAGCUAAACCGUCGUGGUAUUUAAUUACUUAUUGCAGGUCCAUGUCUCGAGUUGUUUGCUUUGGCAUCUGAAAUCUUUGUAUUUAUUCAUUUUUGGAGAACUCUAAGAGGUAGCUACUAGGGUGAUGUGUUUAGUCUUUAACUUUGUAAUUGUCUUUGAUUUACUCGGAAGUUUCUCAUGACUAAAGUGUGCCUAAUUGCAGGUACUUGCCUAAAGUUGGUUUGGUAUGAACUUUGCAGGCCAUCGCUUAGUGGUAAUAUCAUCUAUUAGGAUAUUAUCAUGAUUGUGUUGAUUUUUUAAAAAUUCAUAAAAUAGAGAACAACUUUCAUUCAGGUGCUAUUUGGUAUUGGUGAUUUAAAUUGUAACUCAGUCAUGAUUUUGACUUUGGACAUACAAUUCCUAUAUAGAAGUUGUAGGAAAUAUAUGUUAAGAUUUUAUUUUAGUUAAUUUUACCUUAGGAAUGCUAACCAUUGAUCCUAAAUUUAA